rnacentral:rRNA from 1 species
GAUGAACGCUGGCGGCGUGCCUAAUACAUGCAAGUCGAGCGAACAGACGAGGAGCUUGCUCCUCUGACGUUAGCGGCGGACGGGUGAGUAACACGUGGAUAACCUACCUAUAAGACUGGGAUAACUUCGGGAAACCGGAGCUAAUACCGGAUAAUAUAUUGAACCGCAUGGUUCAAUAGUGAAAGACGGUUUUGCUGUCACUUAUAGAUGGAUCCGCGCCGCAUUAGCUAGUUGGUAAGGUAACGGCUUACCAAGGCAACGAUGCGUAGCCGACCUGAGAGGGUGAUCGGCCACACUGGAACUGAGACACGGUCCAGACUCCUACGGGAGGCAGCAGUAGGGAAUCUUCCGCAAUGGGCGAAAGCCUGACGGAGCAGCGCCGCGUGAGUGAUGAAGGUCUUCGGAUCGUAAAACUCUGUUAUUAGGGAAGAACAAAUGUGUAAGUAACUAUGCACGUCUUGACGGUACCUAAUCAGAAAGCCCCGGCUAACUACGUG